CUGUUUAUCUAGCUCCGGGUUCAGGGUGAUCAAGAGUGCUGUGACCCUGGGUGGAGGUGCACCAUCACACCUCGGUGGGUUGAAACUCGUGGGUACCUUGACCGGGUGAACUUGGGCGUGUAGUUUUUGUCAUUGGAGUGGCCUCUUGGUCCUCCCCUU
rnacentral:snRNA from 15 species